AAGGAGGACAAGGAAGAGAAGAGGAUUGAGAGGAAGAAGAUGAGAAAGACAAGAAGAGACGGAAGUAGAGGAAGAUGGUCUAUGUGUAGCUUGGGGGAGGAGGACGAGGAGGAAAAAUGAAUGAAAAGAAAGGGAAGGAGAUGAAGAGAUGGGUAGAGAAAGGGGAGGAGGAGAAAGGAGAGAGAAAGAGGAGAAAGGGGAGGAGGAGAAGGGAGGGAGAAAA
rnacentral:lncRNA from 1 species